rnacentral:tRNA from 1 species
CAUGUAGCUCAGUAGGUAGAGCACUUCCUUGGUAAGGAAGAGGUCAUCGGUUCAAGUCCGAUCAUG